CAGAGGCCUCGAGCGUUGUUCGGAAUUACUGGGCGUAAAGAGAACGUAGGUGGUGACGUAAGUCAGAUGUGAAAGCCCUGGGCUUAACCUGGGAAGUGCAUUUGAUACUGCGUUGCUGGAGUACGAGAGAGGAAAGCGGAAUUCCCAGUGUAGGAGUGAAAUCCGUAGAUAUUGGGAGGAAUACCGAUGGCGAAGGCAGCUUUCUGGCUCGUAACUGACACUGAGGUUCGAAAGCGUGGGUAGCAAACAGGAUUAGAUACCCUGGUAGUCCACGCCGUAAACGAUGGAUGCUUGUUGUUGGAUAGGUCAACCCUUCCAGUAACGAAGCUAACGCGUUAAGCAUCCCGCCUGGGGAGUACGGUCGCAAGAUUA
rnacentral:rRNA from 1 species